rnacentral:rRNA from 1 species
CCUACGGGCGGCAGCAGUGGGGAAUAUUGGACAAUGGGCGAAAGCCUGAUCCAGCCAUGCCGCGUGUGUGAAGAAGGCCUUCGGGUUGUAAAGCACUUUCAGUGGGGAAGAAAGCCUUGGGGCUAAUACCCUCGAGGAAGGACAUCACCCACAGAAGAAGCACCGGCUAACUCCGUGCCAGCAGCCGCGGUAAUACGGAGGGUGCGAGCGUUAAUCGGAAUUACUGGGCGUAAAGCGCGCGUAGGCGGUCUGAUAAGCCGGUUGUGAAAGCCCCGGGCUCAACCUGGGAACGGCAUCCGGAACUGUCAGGCUAGAGUGCAGGAGAGGAAGGUAGAACUCCCGGUGUAGCGGUGAAAUGCGUAGAGAUCGGGAGGAAUACCAGUGGCGAAGGCGGCCUUCUGGACUGACACUGACGCUGAGGUGCGAAAGCGUGGGUAGCAAACAGGAUUAGAUACCCGGGUAGUC